UACGGAGGGUGCAAGCGUUAUCCGGAUUCACUGGGUUUAAAGGGUGCGUAGGUGGGUCUGUAAGUCAGUGGUGAAAUCUCCGUGCUUAACAUGGAAACUGCCAUUGAUACUAUAGGUCUUGAAUUUUCUGGAGGUAAGCGGAAUAUGUCAUGUAGCGGUGAAAUGCUUAGAUAUGACAUAGAACACCAAUGGCGAAGGCAGCUCGCUGGGACGGUACUGACGCUAAGGCGCGAAAGCGUGGGGAGCAAACAGG
rnacentral:rRNA from 1 species